GAACGAGAAAGUGGAGCAAUCCAUGAGUAAAGUGGCGCACGGGUGAGUAACACGUGACUAACCUACCUUUUAGUGGGGGAUAACCUAGGGAAACCUGGGCUAAUACCGCAUAACACUUACGAGUCAAAGCAGCAAUGCGCUGAAAGAGGGGGUCGCGGUCGAUUAGUUAGUUGGCAGGGUAAUGGCCUACCAAGACUGUGAUCGAUAUCCGGCCUGAGAGGGCGCACGGACACACUGGAACUGAAACACGGUCCAGACUCCUACGGGAGGCAGCAGUGGGGAAUUUUGCGCAAUGGGGGAAACCCUGACGCAGCAACGCCGCGUGGAGGAUGAAGUCUCUUGGGACGUAAACUCCUUUCGAUCGGGACGAUAAUGACGGUACCGGAAGAAGAAGCCCCGGCUAACUUCGUGCCAGCAGCCGCGGUAAUACGAGGGGGGCAAGCGUUGUUCGGAAUUAUUGGGCGUAAAGGGUGCGUAGGUGGUUCGGCAAGUCUUGUGUGAAAUCUUCAGGCUCAACUUGAAGUCUGCACAAGAAACUGCCGGGCUUGAGUAUGGGAGAGGUGAGUGGAAUUUCCGGUGUAGCGGUGAAAUGCGUAGAUAUCGGAAGGAACACCUGUGGCGAAAGCGGCUCACUGGACCAUUACUGACACUGAGGCACGAAAGCUAGGGGA
rnacentral:rRNA from 1 species